GUAGUCCACGCCGUAAACGAUGGGUACUAGGUGUCUGGGGGAGCGACCCCCUGGGUGCCGGCGCUAACGCAUGAAGUACCCCGCCUGGGGAGUACGGCCGCAAGGCUGAAACUCAAAGGAAUUGACGGGGGCCCGCACAAGCGGUGGAGCAUGUGGUUUAAUUCGACGCAACGCGAAGAACCUUACCUAGGCUUGACAUGCUGGAGAAAGCUCGCAGAAACGUGAGCCCCUCUUCGGAGUUCCAGCACAGAUGCUGCAUGGCCGUCGUCAGCUCGUGUCGUGAGAUGUUGGGUUAAGUCCCGCAACGAGCGCAACCCUCACUCUUAGUUACCAGCGGGUAAAGCCGGGGACUCUAGGGGGACUGCCGGUGCCAAACCGGAGGAAGGUGGGGAUGACGUCAAGUCAUCAUGGCUCUUACGUCUAGGGCUACACACGUGCUACAAUGGGCCAGACAGAGGGUCGCCAACUCGCGAGAGUGAGCCAAUCCCCAAACUGGUCCUCAGUUCGGAUUGCAGUCUGCAACUCGACUGCAUGAAGCUGGAAUCGCUAGUAAUCGUGGAUCAGCUACGCCACGGUGAAUA
rnacentral:rRNA from 1 species